UGAGAGAGAGAGUAAGUGUGUGUGUGUGUGUGUAAAUAAUGACCUCCCAAAGAUGUCCAUGCCCUAACCCCCAGUGCCUGUGAAUGUGUGAUGCUACAUAGCAAGGGAGAAUUAAGGUUGCAGACGGAAUUAAGUUUGCUUAACACUUGACCUUAAAAUCAGGAGAUUAGCCUGAAUUAUUCAGGUGGGCCCAGUGUAAUCACAAGACUUCUUAAAAGAUGGAAGAGGAAGAAAAAUCUGUCAGGGGAUGCAAUGUGAAAAACUCAACUUGCUGUUUCUGGAUUUGUCAGAAGGGGGCCAAAGAAUAUGGGCAGCCUCUAGAGGCUAAAAAGAACAGGCAGGUGUGGCUGGCUGGCCUAACAGCCUAGGAAGCUGAUUCCUCUUGGAGGAGCAGCGAACACCAGUCUGCCUUUGAGAUCUGCUGAACCACAAGGAGACUGCACUUCAAUCUCUCCAUGGACACCCAGACAAGCUCUUUUCAAUGAGAGCUUCCACCUCCUAUCAUUGUUCAAGCUCCUACCUUUU